UACCGCAGGAGGGCGAGGAUGUUGGGU
rnacentral:sRNA from 1 species